rnacentral:rRNA from 1 species
AUUGAACGCUGGCGGCAGGCCUAACACAUGCAAGUCGAACGAGUGGCGGACGGGUGAGUAAUGUCUGGGAAACUGUCUGAUGGAGGGGGAUAACUACUGGAAACGGUAGCUAAUACCGCAUACCCUAAGAUGUGUCCAGAUGGGAUGAGCUCGUAGGUGGGGUAACGGCUCACCUAGGCGACGAUCCCUAGCUGGUCUGAGAGGAUGACCAGCCCCACUGGAACUGAGACACGGUCCAGACUCCUACGGGAGGCAGCAGUGGGGAAUAUUGCACAAUGGGCGCAAGCCUGAUGCAGCCAUGCCGCGUGUAUGAAGAAGGCCUUCGGGUUGUAAAGUACGUUCAGCGGGGAGGCGUUACCCGCAGAAGAAGCACCGGCUAACUCCGUGCCAGCAGCCGCGGUAAUUC